UACAGAGGCCUCAAGCGUUUAGGCGGAAUCACUGGGCUUAAAGCGUGUGUAGGCGGACUUCUAAGUACCUUGUGAAAUCCCACGGCUUAACUGUGGAACUGCUUGGUAUACUGGUUGUCUUGAGCCACUCAGGGGCGAAGCGGACAAAUGGUGGAGCGGUGAAAUGCGUAGAUAUCAUUUGGAACGCCAAUGGUGAAAACAGCUCGCUGGGGGUGUGCUGACGCUGGAGAACACGAAAGCCAGGGGAGCGAAACGGGA
rnacentral:rRNA from 1 species